UAAGUGUUGGGACAGGUUAUGUCAGGCAGUAGAGCAGAUAUAUCAUGUUCAGUAAGUGGUGGGACAGGUUAUGUCAGGCAGUAAGGCAGAUAUAUCAUGUUCAGUAAGUGAUGGGACAGGUUUUGUCAGGCAGUAGGGCAGAUAUAUCAUGUUCAGUAAGUGUUGGGACAGGUUAUGUCAGGCAGUAAGGCAGAUAUAUCAUGUUCAGUAAGUGAUGGGACAGGUUAUGUCAGGCAGUAGGGCAGAUAUAUCAUGUUCAGUAAGUGUUGGGACAGGUUAUGUCAGACAGUAGAGCAGAUAUAUCAUGUUCAGUAAGUGAUGGGACAGGUUAUGUCAGGCAGUAGGGCAGAUAUAUCAUGUUCAGUAAGUGAUGGGACAGGUUAUGUCAGGCAGUAGGGCAGAUAUAUCAUGUUCAGUAAGUGGUGGGACAGGUUAUGUCAGACAGUAGGGCAGAUAUAUCAUGUUCAGUAAGUGAUGGGACAGGUUAUGUCAGGCAGUAAGGCAGAUAUAUCGUGUUCAGUAAGUGGUGGGACAGGUUAUGUCAGACUGUAGAGCAGAUAUAUCAUGUUCAGUAAAUGGUGGGACACAUAAUGUCAGACAGCAGGGCAGAUAUAUAUCAUAGUCAGUUCUUUGGAUUAGAUUAUCAACAAGAGCUGUCUUUCAUUUUAAAAGUCGUUGUGACAUUUCAGAAUAAGUAUCAUAGAAACAUUUCAGUGAUUUUAACAGAUAAUGAUCAUGAAUAUUAUGAGAACUACCUGAUGACUUCAAAUUCUUUCCUGGUUGUAGUUUUGUUUUCACUCACGAUCAUUCCUGAGGAAACAUAUUUUCCUUUUGAGACCAAGUUCAUUAUAUGCCCAGACAUGUUUUAUGAGGUUGAUGGAUAUUGUUAACUCUGAGGUCGAAGAAACUUAUCCAAAAAGCAGAAUUACCAGUACAGCGUUAAGCUGCAAAACAAAAGUCCACAAAUGAGUAGUGAGAAUAUACCGGGUAGUGAGACCUGUUAGCAACUGCACACAUGGCAACCGUUUCAUUUGGGUAGUAGGACACACCAAAAGAACGCUGCCAUAUAGCUGGAAUAUUGCUGAGUGCAGCGUAAAACUAAACUCACUCACUCACCCCAAAAAUCUAAAUUUGUCAGAUUUUUAGUGCUGGGGUGCUUAUUAGGGCAAACAUGGUACUUCCAGUGAAACAUUCAUGAAUUCGUUUGCAAAAAUAUGGAAUGAAAAAGGAAAUAUUAAAAAUGAACUUUCUCAUACGAAAACAGAAACAAAAAUGUCCUUUGGAACUGGUAAGGUUAACAUAUCAUGCAUGUUUUAUGCCAUUAUUAUCUCAUGCUGUUUUGUGUCGUCCCUCUUGUGUUUCGAAUGGUUAGGCUGAAAUACAUCCGCGAAGGCGUUAACAACACAAGUUAUGCUAUUGAUUCACUUUGAAUGUGGAAUCACGAAACAAGUUUGAACUUGCAAUCCUAACUGAAUACCUGUUUCUCCUCGCUGCCC